GGGGGUGUGGUGGAAUGGUAGACACAACAGACUUAAAAUCUGUUGGCUUUUUCAGUCGUGAGGGUUCGAGUCCCUCCACCCCCA
rnacentral:tRNA from 1 species